UGCAAAAGGUUGCGCGAACGCACCGCACGGAAAAGGCCUUCCAAAGGAAGGCCUUUAUUUUCAGGUCUGAAUCAGAGCGUACGGACUGCAAGCGGGUUCGGUCAGCAACCUACGAGGAAAGACGGCAGUACAGAACGAAUCGAUCGGCUCUGAGUCUUCGACGACGACUAUACUUCACACCAGCACGGAGGAUAAGUUAUCCGCGGGAGCAUGACGGCACGGCCCAUUGGUGUGAACUGCAGUAUGCAUCUCCGGGAAAAAACGGCGUGGCGGACAUGGUAGGGGUGCACCCACAGCAAGCGUGAGUAAGAAGAAAAGAGAAUAGGUAGAAUAAGUAGAUAGAGGAGAAGAGAGAACAGAAGGAGUAAUGAGUAAAAUAAAAAGCAGAUAAAGCAGGGCAAUGGAAGGAGAAUAAAGUUUGUGUCGAUGAAAA